UGAGAAUAUGUAUAUUGAAAAACAUUUUGAAACCUUGCACAGUAUAAAAGAGUAAUAGAACCUGAAUUGACUUCAAAAGGGACUUGAUGGCCAUGAAUUGAAUUUGGGUUGAAAACUUUGGAGUCCUAUUGGUCAAGGAGUUAAAGUCCCACUUGGCUAAAUGAUUGGUUCCUACUAGGGACUUUGGAUUCCCAAUGGCUAGUUGGGUUAAAGUCUCACUUGGCUACAUGGUUUGGUUCCUAUGUGGAACAUUGGAGUCUUAUUGGAUAACUGGGUCAAAGUUCCAUUGGCAUAUUAAUGGAUUUGUAAAAGUAACAUGUGUUUGCAAGCUACAGUCUGUAUGACGAUACCACUUGAUAAUGACUUAACGUAUGACUCCUUUCUUAGUGAUUGGGAAUAUGUGAAAAAUGUUUUAUUUGGGCUUUAAUGAGGGUUGUGUAGCUAUUCUAUGAAAUUAUAAGUGCCGAGGGGGCAAUACUAGAAACCGCAGUUGUCGACGCAGGGGUUUAAAUGACUGGGUGGUUCGAGUCCCCCAUGUUAUAUCUCUGAGUGGUCAAGUCACUCUUGACACAUUCCAAGAGGUUCUUGUCCCCCAUAGAGCAUAUGUAUAUGUGAUUAUUCUCUAGUUCGUCCAACCAUACACAUUGGAGCCCUUUCAGCUAGGGGAAAGCUAGACCCAUAUAGCCUGUGGGUGCCUUAUUAUGACGGUUAUGCUACACAAUCUAGGUUAAUGAGUUUUAAAAAUCAUGCUAAACCUUGUACCCUAUCCCAGCAAUAUAUAUAUAUAUAUAUAUAUAUAUAUAUAAGUGUAUAUGCAUAUGAUCGUGUGCCUUGGAUUUGGAUGGAUUUUGAACUAUUGACUAUGUCAUUAUUUUACCCUUUAUCCCUGAGUUACAUGCUAGUUCUCAACCCACUAACCAUCUCCAGACAUUGUAUACCCAUGCGAUAUAGGGUUCGAAAGCAAUCCUACUUUUCCUACGCAGUGUUAGGUGGAUUGGCGUGGUUCAUCAGUCAUUUGUGGUGAAGUGGUGAGCUUUCAUUUUUGGGAAGACUUAAUCAUUCCAUCGGUUUCCUUCCAUGAAUUAGAGUUAAAGACUUCAAAUUAACAUUAUCAUUGUCAUUUCCAUUGUCAGAGUCGAGGGCAUAUCCCGAUAUAGGUUGCUUGUAUAGUAUAGAGGCCUUUUGGAUUACUGUGGAUGGGUUUUGGUUCUUGACAUUCAUAGACGUUUGAGUCACUAUUUUCUCUAUUUUAUUAUAUGUUCGAAACUUAUCUACUGUUAUGUGUAUACGUGUGAUUUGUAAGGUCAUACAAAGGGGGCGAUCCUGGGUCCUCGGCAGACAUAGGAUGCCCAUCACAGCCAGGACCUGGUUCAAGCCGUGACAGUAAAAAAGUAUGUUUAUUACUUGAAGGUAGGUGUUUUUUUAGUGGAACUUUGAACUCAACUCUUGUCCAAAGUUUGUUGAGUUUUAAUUUGUGAGGAGGUUUUUGUGUCCUGGAGGGAAAAAAUCAAGAAGGUUAGUACUGGACCGGUGAAAUCAUUUGUUGCAAUAGGCUUGAAUCGCCUUAAAAGAGAGUAAGAUAUCUGUGCCUCAGCCAAGAAGAAUAUUUAUGUAUUUUAUUUAUUUCUUUUUGUAUUUUCAGUUAUAAAUAUUGUAAUAUUUAGCCAACACUAAGAAUAUCACUCUCCUAACUAGCCUCGCCUGGAGAAUUUUCUAACCCACAUUCUCUUUGUGCAAGUACCUUAAUAAAAAAGUAUAAUAAUACUAAGCCCAACUAUAAUCACUCGUUUAUUUGGGAAAAUAUUCUUUGAGGGGGAUAAAAUUUGUGCUCCUAAUUUUGCUUCGAAACCUGAUUCAGGCAAGGUUAUAAAUUAUGGCAUGAUAGAUGGAUCCCAUAAUCCCUUUUACUUCGGAAUCUCAUUCAUGGACCCUCACAAAAGAGGAAUAUAAUCUAAAGCUUCUUGAUCUAUGGGAAGAUAAUUGUUGGCGAUGGCAUAGGUUUUCUUUUGAUAUUCGGGUCUCAAUUCUUACCAAUACCAAAUAUAUAAACUUUAGCUUUACGAUUAACACCCUUGACGCCCCCACUAGGCAUCCAUCUCCAACAGUGUCUUAACCAUUAAGUCAGUUCUCCAAUACAUGUAAGGAAAUAGGUUGACUACCUAUAAUUUUGCCUAGAUUUGGAGGCUUAACACAAGAAAUUAAUUUGAAUCCCUGCUAUGGCUUUUCUCCCAUGAUAGGCUUCCUACUAUGCAUUUCUCCAUCACUUAUGCAUCACUGAGAAUCCAUACCCCAUUUGUAAAUUAGAGGAAGAAUCUAUUCCUUACGUCUUCUUGCAUUAUUUUAUCGCUAGGAAAUUUUGGCUUGACCUUGGUUUAAAUGUUCACCAACUGUACUUUUCAAAUCUUCACUGGUUAUUAUUAUUAAAGGACCAAAAAAUUCUCUACCCCGACCUCUUCCAUAACAUAUGACUGGACCGACUUUCUUCCCUUUGCACUUUGGCACCUAUGGAUUAAUAGGAACAAUUUUGUCUACAAACUUAAAUCUGUUAUCCCAUUUGUCUCCUUUUUUAAGAAUAAUGUUUUGGAAUUUAUGUCGUAUAUAGAUAGCGAGAAGAUCUUUGAAACCCCGCUUCCUAUAGAAAUUAAAUGAACUUGUCCCCCCACUAGUUAUUUUAAGCUCAAUAUAGAUGGGGCAUAUGACAAACAUAUAACUAAGGGAGGUAUUGGUGGGGUUGUUUGAGACUCAAAUGGUAAUUGGAUCAUGGUUUUUAAUGGUUCAUGCAAUGCCCAUACUGCUUUACACUCGGAGCUUCUAGCCUUACAAAAAGGGCUUGAAAAAAUUGGUACCCACAACUUCUUGCCUUUGGAAGUUGAGGUUGAUUCGACCAAUAUUUUUCUCAUACUUGAUAAAUCUCCACCUUUAUAUAAUUUCAUUGUAUGGUUUUGUAGGUUGCUUCUGAGGAGGUUGGGAAUUGUCAUGACCUAAAAAAUAAGGGGCAUGAUGACACUUGUCGCGGCAAGCCUUGAUAAGUAAACCUGUCACACAAAUUGGUAUGAAAAGGGAAAAUAAUAACAAUAACCCAAAGUAAGGCUUCUAGAAUGAUGUAAAACCACACAAUAUAAUAAGAGCAGAAGAACAUAACCAAAGAUAUCAUACCAUAAUCCCAAAACCUAGUGUCAUAGUAUAAGAACAUCACUAGUACUACUCGAGAUCAAAAUACAUAAGAUAUCCAAAAUAGGAACAACUCUGUCUCUGAAUGCAAAAUAAAGACAUAGUCUAAAUAAAGAAAGGCAGAAGUCGACUCCGGAAGCAAGAAUCCAACUCCUACCUCAAAAUAUCUCCAAAGUAUCAUCCGAAGUUAACCACCAUGAGGUGCACUCGAACCAGGAUCUGCAUCAAAAGGGCAUGGUAAGGGAGAGUAUGGUCCACUUGUACUCAGUAGGUAUCAUAGGCCGACUGAGCAAAGAAUAAAAAUAAAGCAUACAAAAUACACACUAAGGGCACUCCCCCUGCAACCAGAAAAUGUCCCAAACAGUAGUACACACUAUCUUUACUAACAGUUCUACACUAUUCACAUACACCAUAACAAUAUGAAAGAAAAGUACAAGUAUACAGGUAUCACACAUAUGAAUAAGAAGAAAGAAAUACACAUAGAAAGGUAUCAUAACAAGGAAAAUAAUACGUCACAGAAAUGUACAAAAUAAAUGCAAAUGCAACGGAGAUGAUAAUGAUGAUAAUGCUAAUGAUGAUGAUGCUCAAGGUUGUCGCACAACCUCCGUAUACACCUACGUAGAUAAAGCUUUUUGACGUAGAAACAAUCGGGGGGUUUUCAACCCAUAUAUAACCAAUUCAACACCAAUAUCCAUAACUCCUCUUCGAUACAUCUAUCGAUGGAGGAUUUUAAGGAUAUCACAUUUUCUGUUAGAAAAAGCAAGUGUUUCCAGUAUUUCCAUGGUGGUACCAAUAUUUUAUGAAUGUAUAUGAUAUGAGGAUGUAAUUCCCACAACCAACCAGAACGAGUAUUACCAUAUCCAACCAAGUGAGCCAAUAAUCCACUCAAUAUUUCCAACCAGUAAUGAAUUCCAACAUAAACCAUAUGCCAAGAGAGUAGAAUACAAUUAUAUUAUAUUAUUGAUACCAUAUUAGCCUUUUUAUUAAUAGGAUACAAUUAAUUUCACCUAUACAAAGCCAACAAAAACAUAUAAGACCCCAUAUGAUCACACAAUAAAGAAUGUUCCAAAAACCACCAAAUAAAUCAAUAUAUAGGCCUCCACACGGGCACGACACAAUAAUUAUAGCUAUUUUCAUGAUUAAUUCCCACACCCUUAACAUUCUUUUGUAUCAAUCUUAACAACUCAACUCAGUCUAAAGAAAAUUAAGUCAUAAUAUAUCUCGAAUGUCAAACCAUUCCGAAAGCCUUCAAUCCAAAGACCUACUCCUCAUGAAUGGACUCAGAAUCAACUAAAUCAUACAAAUAUAGAAUCUAUGCAUCUAAAAAAAAGCCAACGAUAUCCAUAAUACCUAUUUUAUAUGUCGGGAUAAAAAAUGAACCCCGAAAUGGGUUUUCAAAAAAAAUAGUAAAAUUAUAAUUUUAUUUUUGAAACAUGUUCCCCAUAUUUAUAGGACUUGGAGUUGAAAACCCAAGCAAAAAUAAAUUAAAAACAAAGUCCCAAUUGAAGAAAAAUCAUGCUUAAGCUUUACUGAUAAAAAUCCUUGAAAUUCAUUUUGAAAUCAAGAAUUGAAGCUAUUUUGAAGAUGAAAUCAAAAGAAAAGUGAUAAUUAUAAGAUUAGAAACUCACCCAAGUGAAAUGGGUUGAAAUCGGAGUUUAAAUGGGAAAAUUAUAAUUUUUAGGCUUUUCAGGACAAAAUUCCCAAUUUAUACCUUUUUAAUUCGCAUUUAAAUGUGAAUUACAUGAUGAAAUUUGGAGAAAAUAUUAAAAUAGAUGUUAUGGAGCUCACCCAAGCUUAAAAGUGAAAUAAAUUACUCAAAAUAAUGAAACCCUAAGCUCCAAGUCUCAAAAAUGGUGAAAAUAAAAAAACAUGGGUAUAUAAAGGACCCAGGCAUCGCAUACGCCAUCAUAAAGUCGCGUACGUGGUACCUGUCUUGAGGGCAGGUAUCACAUAUAUGAAUCUAUCAUCUCAUACUCGAGUCCUACAAUCGUAACCAAGAUGUCGCAUAUGCGACACUUGCAUCUAGUCAGCUGAGUCGCAUAAGCGACUGACCCAUUACGUUUGCGGGUGCACCAGCACCAGCAGGAGACUUCAUGAAUUCCAAGUCUCUACAUACCACUCAGGAUUCAUCCAAAAUCCCGUUAACACAAACAACCUAUGCUACCCUGUAAAAAUUUGAUGCUCAGUACUUAAUGGCGAUAUCAGAUUUUCAAAAAAAUAAUGUUUUCACAAAGUUGACCCUCAAAACCUAAUCUCACAACUUUCUAAACCGAGGAUCGAAAUAAGAUAUAAAUCUACAAAAUCACACCAAUCAUGUUACCAACCUUAAAUUGACAUUUUAGAUCUGCUGCCACAAUCUAUUUUUGAAAUGCCUCGGACUUUGUCCUUCACAAAUUUCCUGAGUUUUAGGCUCUCUACCCUUCCUAUGACUUACACCAUGAGUCAUAUGAUGUGGUUAUGGGUCAGGUGACCCCAGCCAUAAGUUAACCAGUGUGUUAUCGAUCAAGUUUUUUCCUGGUUAUGAGUGACUUCUCAUGAGUCGUAUGAUCAUGUGAUGAGUGGUUAGGGUCCAUUCGUAUAUUGUCCUGUGUCCAAGCCCAUGGUAUUUUGUGAUGGUCAUGACUUAGACCAUAUGAGUCGUAUGAUCUAGUGAUGAGUGGUACUAAGAAGUCGUAAGUUGGACAGUAUGUGGUGUCCAAUGCUCUGUCUUAGUGAUGACUCAAUGGUAUGAGUCUUAAGUUAUGGUGAUGAGUCAACGACUUGAAUCAUAACUAAAGGCGGGAUUUUACAACUUUAAGUAGGGGGUACUUUGGACAUUUCCUACCCCAAUCCCUUAAGACCCCACGUCUUAUAACACCUUUUGGUCAUUCAUUAUACCCUUUACAAGAUCAAACUCUCUCUAAACUCUCUCUCUAAAACCUCUCAAUAAAUAUUAGGCUCGGAUUUGUUCAAAGCUCUCUAUGAAUCUUCGUAACUCAGGCAUGUGACUCUCCCUUUGUAAUACCCAUGCUUUUUCUUAGCUUGAAAAUCAUCUCAAAAAUGUUAUAACUUGCUUUGAAAUAAGAAUUCAUUCUUAUACACGUUGAAUUUUCAUAAUUCUCACUUCCUAUCACGUGGAAAAUUGAAUAAUCUUUCCAUCGAUAUAUAAUUCGCCCAAAUCCGACACCCUGGCAAAGAGUUAGAGCUUUUUUAGUGAGACAGUGUUUGACCUGAGCCUUCAGUGCGUCGCGGAGAUAACUCAAAUGGCAAUUGUCAAAUUCCAGUGUUGCUCCAUGAUACUGGUGCAUCAGACUAAACUUCUAGGUCGUAGCCAAGGUGCCAACGCGAUAGCUCUGCGUCGCGCCACCAUGCAAUUUCUCAAUUGUCAAUUUCCAGUGACACAGCGUGGUAACGCCGCGUCGCGCCAAGGGCACAACUCGAGAAAUUUUAUUGAAAAUUUAAUUACAUGUCCAGGGUUAAAAGGGUCAAUUUCUGCCCCCCCCCCCCCUCCCCCCAUAUAAGCUUCCAAAUAUGGGAUUUAUCCACUUUUUACCCAAAACAUAUUAGUUUCUCUAAAGUUUAUCUCAAGAACAAACUAGGGUUUCGAUUGGUGAUUCAAAUUCAGAAAGGUUUCACCAUUAAUCUUCACAAAAUCACGAUCUAAGGUAUGCAUAGUGUUCAUUCGUGGACUCCCUUCGUCCAUGAAGUCCAAGAAUCCUUUUUAACUACAAGUUAUGGAUUUUCUUCAUGUUUUCAUACUUUGUAUGUUCUAUUUCAUAUUGAUAAAUGAGGAAUUGAUUUCUAUUCCAUGAUUUGAUGAUAAAUUCCAGGUGGGUUGAUUAGUAUAGAUAAAGAUUUACGAAAUCUCAUGACUAAAACCUUGUAUGAUGGAAUUGGAAUUGAAGCAUGAUGUUUAAUUGUUGUAUGAUAUGCUUUACAUGUACUAUGCCUACAAAAUGUUUGAUUAAAUUCCUAGAUGAAGGAAAAUUGUCUAACUAGCAUGAUAUCAUAAAAUCCCCAUGUAUGUACAAGUUUAUGCCUAUUACAUGUUUGAUGAAAGACUCCUAUGAAUGUAGUAUGUAUUAUGAAGUUAGUCAAGUCUUCAAGUAAAUCAUGCUAUGUCAGUUUCCUUCUAUUGAGUCCUGGGGGUACUUGUACCCAAAAUAUUAGUUGUGUGCCUAGAUCCAUAUCAUGUUUUCAUGAUACUCUCAGUCAAGAUAUGAACUCUUAGACUUCAAAUAGUCUUAUGACUCAGGAAAAAUCUCCAUGAUCUCAUGACUCAGUCAGUUGUCAGAUAUCAGUAGUAAUCCGUUAGCCAUGGAAAUUCAGUAACUCAAUCCAUGUUCUGUUCAGUUCAGUUCAGUAAAUCAUGUUCAGUGUCCAUUUAGAUGGGAGUACGAAUUAGCACCGAGUUAACCCAAAGAUGGGGACACAUCUGUUAUACUAGGGUGUGAUUCCUAGAAGCAAUCCUUCCAUUUCAGAAAUAUGUAGCCAGCAUAGGUUGAGAAAUCGUAGCCUACUAUAUGAGGGUAGAUGAGGUGGCUUAACCUAUUAUGUGAGGGUUCCCACCAUUCUCGCUAGAGUUACCUGUUAUAUAAGGGUUACUCACAUGUUGUCCUUACUAGUGGUGCGGUAUUGAUACCCUUCCAAUCAGGGCAUAGAUUGGACCCCAGCUCAGCUAUUAUAGUACUUUUGGGGCAUGUCGAUUAGAUACUACUUCCCACAGUUUCAUGUUAGAGAAUUCGGACUGUCAGAUACAGUUAAUCAGUCUCAGUAAUAGAACUCGAUAAUUCUUUAGAUUUCAGGACUGUCAGAUACAGUCAACUCAGUUACUGUACAGAACUCAGAUAGUUCCAUCAGAUUUAGGACUAUCAGUUGUAGUCACCCACGUUAUCAGUUAUACUCAGAUAUAGUCACCCAUGUUAUCAGUAUUUUCAUAUAUAGUCCUUCAUGUUAUCAGUCAUAUCAGUUACUAGCAUGUCAUAUUAUCAGUAUACAGAUUCAGAAAUUAUGAAAUCACGUUAUCAGUUAUGUAUUUAUGCAUGUAUUCUCAUAUUCAUGUUAGACAGUCAGUUAGCAUUAUUCAUGCAUAUGAACCAUUGUAUAUAUCCUACCUCACAUAUAUACUCGGUACAUAUUUACUGAUACAUUCUCCCUAUGGUGCUUUCUUUUUAUGUUACACCAUAGAUUCAGAGACACGAUUUCCAGAUCAGCAGUAGAUUCCAGAUUCAGCAGUCAGAGUAGAAGUGAGUCCUCAUCCUUCUAGGACAUAAUGAUUUUCUAGUAUCUCAUUGAUUAUCUUAUUAGUUGGAGUUAGUUGGGGACAUAUCCCAUCAACUCCUUAUUAAGAUUCUUUAGACAGUAGAGGCUUCUAGACUAGAUUCAGACUAGAUACAGACUAUCAUGUUUUAGACUUCAGUUUUGUUUUGGGUAUUCUAUUACCCCACACAAAUGUUACGUUAUUCAGUUAUGCUCAUGAUCGAACCUUAUGGUGUUUCAGUGCAUGUUUUCAUAUUAUUAUGUUAUCUUAUGUAGUAUACAGGUAUAGAUAUCAGUCAUGGGUUAACUUAUAGUCCUUCGAGGUCAUGAGCAUCGUGUAGUAUUCCGGUUCAGUAAAUCGGGUCGUUACAAACUUGGUAUCAGAGCCUAAGGUUCUAUAGAGUCCUAGAAAGUCUGAAAGCCACAUCUAGUAGAGUCUUGUACAUGGGUGUGUUGCGCGCCACAUUUAUGUGCAAGAGGCUAUGAGAUGUUUUAAGAACAGUUUCACCUCUUUCAGUAUUCAUGUCGUACCUGUGAGCAUAAUCACAAGUUAGUCUCUCAGUCUAAUCUGCUUCUUCUGUUUAUUUCAGAACAUGCCUCCUAAGAGAAGAAAUCAGUCAGCCCCUCAAUCCGAAGAACCUUUGGGCGAUCAUGUUUCUCAUGCGAAGUUCAGGACCGCAUUUACCACUCUUAAACAAACAGCCGUUGCUCAUAAUGAACGGCUAACAGUCAUUUCGGCCAACCCAAUGGCCAACUCAGCUGCAGCGAGGAUUCGGGACUUCACCCGAAUGAAUCCUCCAAUCUUCCUCGGGUCUAGGGUAGAUGAAGACCCUCAGGAAUUCUUAGAUCAAGUUCAGAAAGUGACAGAUACCAUGGGAGUGACAACUGUUAAGAGCGCUGAGCUAGCUGCAUACCUAUUGCAGGAUGUGGCUCAUUCUUGGUUCAAAUAGUAGAAGUCCAAAAGAUCAGAUGAUGCAGGUCCUAUAGAGUGGAAAGAGUUUGUCACUACAUUCUUAGACAGAUUCUUUCACCAAGAGCUUAGAGAAGCCAAGGUGCUAGAGUUCAUCAACCUCAGGUAGAGCAAUAUGACAAUGAAAGAGUAUUCUUUGAAGUUUACUCAAUUAGCCAGGUAUGCCCCUCAUGUGGUUGCAGAUAGUAGAUCCAAGAUAAGUAAGUACACUUCAGGGGUGAACGACAGUGUGGUUAAUGAGUGCAGAUCUACCAUGCUGAACAGUGACAUGACCUUAGCUAGACUUAUGACUCAUGCUCAGCAGAUACAAGAGCAGAAAAUUAAGCAGAGGAAAAAGUAGAAUAAGAGAGCAAAGAUAGGUAGUUUCAACUUCGAUCAGCCUAAAUCAGAAGAAGAAAACCAUUCCCAGUUUCGUCUUAUGUCAUCAGUUCCAAUUCCCUCUAUAGCCAGUACUCCAGUUCCUAAGUUUAAAGAGUGUAACAAAGAUAGAGCGUCAGGCUCUAAGACCCAGGGCAGUGUUAUUAGUGCCCGCACUUAUCCUCUUUGCCAGACUUGCGGUAAGCACCAUCAGGGUGUGUGUAGAGCAGGUAGUGGCAUUUGUUUUGGUUGUGGCAAUCCAGACCAUAGAGUUAGAGACUGUCUGCAGCCAGGUCCUCAGGGUCAACAGAAUCGCUCUUCAGCUCAGUCCGAUCGCCCAAAUCAGUAGGGUGCCACUUCCAGUGCUACUAGUAGGCAACGUACAACUUGUCUCUAUGCUCUUUAUACUCGACAAGAUCAGUAAAGAUCUCCUAAUAUAAUAAUUGGUACGUUACAGAUCUUUCAUAUCCAUAUUUACGGUUUGCUAGAUCCAGGAGCUUCCUUGUCUUUUGUUACUCCUUAUAUAGCAGUUGAUUCAAUAUCAGUCUCAAAAUUCUAGCAGAGCCCUUCUCAGUCUCUACCCCAGUGGGUAAAACCAUCAUAGCUCGACGGGUAUACAGGAACUGCUCGGUUAUGAUAUUUUAGAAAGUCAUUUAAAUAGACUUAGUCAAAUUAGAGAUGACUGAUUUUGAUGUCAUUCUCGUUCUCAGCAUGGAUUGGCUUCAUUCCUUCUAUGCCAAAGUCAACUGCAGAAAUAGAAUAGUUCAGUUUUAGUUCCCAAAUGAACCCGUCCUAGAGUGGAAGGGUAGUGUAUCCGUUUUUAGGGGUCAACUUAUUUCCUACCUUCGGGAAAGAAAAAUGAUAUCUAAGGGAUGUGUUUAUCAUCUAGUUCAUGUUAGAAAUUCCAGUUCCAAGGCUCCCAGUCUCAAAUCAAUCCUAGUAGUGAAUGAAUAUUCAGAUGUCUUUCCCAAAAAUCUUUCAGGAAUUCCUCUCGAAAGAGAAAUAUACUUUGGUAUUAAUCUUUUUUCAGACACUCAGCCUAUCUCUAUUCCACCAUAUAGAAUGGCACCAGUAGAAAUCAAGGAACUGAAAGAACAGUUGAAGGAUCUCUUAGAUAAGGGAUUCAUCAGACCCAAUAUUUCCUCGUGGGGCACACCAGUCUUAUUCGUAUGCAAGAAAGACGGCUCUCUCAGAAUGUGUAUAGAUUACCGUCAAAUCAAUAAGGUUAUGAUCAAGAAUAAGUAUCAUCUUCCCAGAAUCGAUGACUUGUUUGACCAAUUUCAGGGUGCCAAUUAUUUCUCUAAGAUAGACCUCAGAUCUGGCUAUCAUCAGCUUAGAGUUAGAGAAUAUGACAUCCCAAAGACAGUUUUUCGUACGCGGUAUGGUCACUUUGAAUUUUUAGUUAUGUCCUUUGGUCUUACCAAUGCCCCAGCAGCUUUCAUGGACUUGAUGAACUACGUGUUCAAGCAGUACUUAGACAUGUUCAUCAUAGUCUUGAUAGAUGAUAUUCUGGUCUAUUCCCACACUGAGAGAGAUUAUGCAGACCAUCUCAAAAUAGUACUCCAGACUCUCAAAAAUCAUCAGUUAUUCACCAAAUUCAGUAUGUGCAAAAGUACAGAUAUCAGUCAUGGGUUAGCUUGUGGUCCUUCUAGAUCAUGAGCACCGUGUAGCGUUCCGAUUCAACAAAUUGGGUCGUUAUACCCUCAUUGUUAGUUCACUAAAAUAUAUGUCCAAAAAAUGUUCAUGAUUUAUUAAUGGUGGUUUUUGAAAACCAAGGUUGAGGGUUUGAAUGAAUAUUAUUGGGUAUCGCUUCCUCAUAAUUUAAUUUAUGAUUAUGCAUAUUUUAAUAAUGGUUUGCACAAGUGGAUGCAUGGGAAUUGUGGUUUAACUAAAGAGUCAUAUUUAACCCUAAAUAUGAUGAUUUUUUAUUUUGAUAAUGGUAUGCCUUCAACCUGUUUGUGAAAUUUUCAAUGAGAAUGAUCUUGUCACAUAAUGAAUUGUGUUUUGAACUAAGGAAUUGGUGUAAGAAUGUUAAUGAUUGGUAAAUGGUUUUAUGACAACCUUGUUAUCCAUAAAUUGAUUUGAAACACUAAAUGGGUUUGAGUCCCUAAAUGGUGAAUUGAAUUGACAUCUUUGUUAGACAAUGGGUUCGAGUCCCAAGAUGAUUAAUAAUGGUUAUGGCAUGUUAUACCCUAGAAGGUGGGGUUGGUAUGAUGAUACCAAUGGAAUGCCUUUGGUAAGUAAUUGGAUUAACGGUUGUAUAUGUGUAAUGAAUUUUUUAAUUUGGCUUUAAAGCGGGAUAUGUAGUCCAACCGUGAAAGUGGAGUUUGAAGGAUUAACACUGGAAAACGUGCUAGCUAGUGCGAGUCUCUAUAUAACCAAGAGGUUUAAGUCCCCUGAACUGAAUAUAUAAAUGGGAGGUUCGAGUCCCCCAUAUUGCAUAGAUUGGUGCUUAUUUUAUCCUCUACUCCUGAGUUACAUGCUAGCACUCCAAUAGCUAACCAUCUCCGGAUGGUGUAUCCUUAUGCGAUGUAGGCACCAAAACCUCUUCUACUUUUCCUAUGCAGUGAUCAAGUGCUCGAGUUAGUUCGUGAGUUGACAUUGAAGUGGUGAGCUUCCAUACUUCAGAAGGCUUCAUUUCAUGGUCCUUAUUUCCUAUGUCAUAGACCUUGUUUAGAUUUUGUUUUGGCUAGUGUCGGGGCAUGUCCCGACAUUCUAUUGAUUUCAGUUUUCUAGAGGCUUUGUUGGAUUGUUGUAGACUUGGGUGGUUUGGUUGAUAGUUUCAGUGAUGGACGGUAGUCCGAUUACUGGUGGUUGGUAAAGACAUAUAAUGAAUCAUUAUUAGUUUAUUUUAUGUUAUCUUGUUAUAUGUUCGGAAUUCAAUCUGAUACUUGAAGUUGUUGGGCUGCCUAGGUUAGGUAAAGGUGGUGAUCUCCGGUCCACGUGGGAUUUGAGAUACCCAUCACGGUCAGACCCUGGUUUGGGUCAUGACAAUUUUGCCAUCCGACGCACAGAUCAAUGAAUGUUGACCGAAGUAAACUAUAAGCCUUUUUAAGCCACCAAAAAUAAUAAUUUACUGGAGUUUAACCACUAGAAUAUCUCUAGAACGCAACAGUCUAACAUCUCUAGUCAAGAUGGAGAUAGACUCCUCAACAAAAGAUAACCUCUCAUCUAACUGAAUUGAAUCCCAAUGAGUGACAUGAGACUUAUCCGGAAUGUAAUGAUGAAGCAUGGAAACAAGAAAAACUGGGUGAACAAUUGAUAAAUAUGAGGGCAAAGAUAACUCAUAAGCCACAUCACCAACAGUUCGAAGAAUCUCAAAUGGCCCAAUAUACCUGGGGCUAAUCUUUUCCCUCUUCCCAAACCUCAUCACACCCUUCAUGGUCAAAAAUAGAAGGAAAAUACAAUCACCCACACCAAAAUUCAAGGCACGAAGUCUACGAUCUGCAUACCACUUCUGCCUACUCUGAGCCACUUGAAGGCUAUCCUGGAUGAUCCAAACUCUAUCCAAAGACUCAUGAACCAAGUCCAUAUCUCGAUGUCUAACCUCAGAAACCUUAAACCAACAAACUAGAAAGCGACAACAUCUACCAUAAAAGGCCUCAAAAGGACCCAUAUCAAUAUUGGAAUGGUAGCUAUUAUUAUAUGGAAACUCUGCCAGAGCUAGAUGUUGCUCCCACUGGCCACCAAAGUCCAUCACAUAAGCAUGGAGCAUAUGCUCCAAUACUUGAAUAAUUCGCUCUGACUGACCAUUAGUCUGGGGGUGAAAUGUUAUGCUAAAUCAACCCGAGUACCCAACUCAUCCUAAAAGGUAUUCUAAAAGUGAGAUGUGAACACCAAACCUUGAUCUAAGAUGAUAGACACUGGCACACCAUGAAGAUGCAUAAUCUCAUAUAUAUAGAUACGGGCCAACCUCUCAACAUUAAAAAAGACUUGAACCAAAAUGAAAUAGGUAGAUUUGGUCAAUCGAUCCACGAUAACCCAAAUACUAUCAGAACCACAAAAAGUACGAGUCAACCCAGUCACGAAGUCAAUAGUAAUUUGUUCCCAUUUCUACUCAAGAAUGGGUAACCUCUGAAGUAAUCCACGAGUCCUCAAAUGCUCGACCUUCACUUGCUACCAACAUAGGUAAUAAGCUACAAAAUCUAAUAUAUCUCUCCUUAUACUACCCCACCAAUAAUGUUUCCUCAGAUUAUGAUAUAUCUUAGUCAUUCCAGGAUGGAUGGAAUACCUGGAAUAAUAAGCCUCCUCCAAAAUCAAUCAAAUUCAAUCACCCACUCUCGGCACACAAACCCAACCUUCAAUCCUCAAAAUACCAUCUGAUUCAAGUGAGGAUUUCUUAGCCUCACCACUUAAUGCCUUACCCCAAAUCAAUCUCAAUCCAACAUCAUCAAACUAAUGAGCUCGAAUCUACUCCAUCAAAAAAGACCUAGCAUCCACGAAUGCCAAAAUACACUUAGGUGUCAAAAUAUCAAGACUAAUUAUCUAGUUAUCCAGAGACUGAACCUCUAAGUCCAAAGGCCUCUCUUGGGUUAAAGGAUGUGCCAAACUACCUAUGCUAGUCGACUUCCAGCUCAAGGCAUCUGCAACUACAUUAGCCUUGCCUGGAUGAUAGAGAAUAGUCAAGUCAUAAUCCUUAAGAAACUCAAGACAACGCCUCUGCCUUAUAUUAAGAUCUCGCUGGGUGAAGAAAUACUAAAGGCUACGAUGAUCCAAGAAAAUCUCACAAUGGACUCCAUACAAGUAGUGCCUCCACAACUUCAAAGCAAAAAACAACUGCACACAACUCCAAAUCAUGGGUAGGGUAAUUGUUCUAAUGCGAAUUCAAUUAAAGAGAAGCAUACACAAUCACCUUACCAUCUUGCAUCAAUAUAGCACCUAACCCAACAUCCGAAGCAUCACAAAAGAUAAUAAAACCCACGACCUCUUUAGGCAAGGUUAAGAUAGUAGUUUAUGUCAAUAAAUCCUUAAGCUUUUGAAAUCUCACCUCACAAGAAAUUAACCACUGAAAAGAAACCUUCUUCUAAGUCAAAUUGGUCAAUGGAGCUACGAUAGAUGAGAAACCCUCAACAAAACAUCGGUAGUAACCUACCAAGCCAAUAAAACUCUAAAUCUCAGUGGGCGAAGUAGGCCUAGCCCAAUCACGAACUGCUGCAACCUUAGCUGGAUCAACCAUAAUACCUUUCUUAGUCACCAAUGACCUAAGAAAGAGACAGACUUCAACCAGAGCUCACAUUUAAAGAACUUAGCAUACAACUUCUUAUCCCUCAAUCUCCGAAGUACAAUCCAUAAAUGCUCCUCAUAAUCGGCCUCACUCUUAGAAUAGACCAAGAUAUCAUCUAUAAAUACUAUAACAAAUGAGUCAAGAUAAGUCAAAAUAUUUGGUUCAUCAACUUCAUGAAAAUGGCUGGGGAAUUAGUCAACCCAAAGGACAUGACCAAGAACUCAUAAUGACCGUAUCGAGUCCAAAAGGCUGUCUUUAAAAUAUUUAAAGCUCUAAUCUUCAACUAGUGAUACCCAAACCUCAAAUCAAUAUUCGAAAACACCAAAGCACCCUAAAGCUGGUCGAACAAAUCAUCAAUAUGAGGAAGAGGAUAUUUCUUCUUGAUUGUCACCUUGUUCAACUGUCGAUAAUCAAUAUAUAGAUGCAUAGACCCAUCCUUUUUCUUUACAAAUAAGACAGGCACCCCAAGGUGAUAUACUAGGUCGGAUAAAUCCCUUAUCCAACAACUCUACCAACUAAUCUUUUAAUUUCUUCAGCUGGUUAGGCCAUCCUGUAGGGAGAAAUAGAAAUGGGCUUCGUGCCAGGCUAGAAAUCAAUAGAAAAGUCAAUAUCACGAUCCAGAGGCAUACCAAGCAAAUUUGUAGGGAAUACAUACAUAAAAUCUUGAACGACACGAAUGGAAUCGAAGAAAGGAGAUGAAGCAACACUAGUAUUAUGAAUAUGAGCCAAAUAAGGAAGGUAUCCCCUCUCAACCAAGCGACGAGCCUGAACAUAAGAUAUAACCUUUUUGGGACCCGAAUGAAGUGCAUCAUUCCAAGCUACCCCUGGCACACCCAGCAAAGCUAAAGUUAUGGUCUUAGUAUAACAAUCUAGGACAGCAUGGUAAAGGAGUCAAAUAGUCCAUACCCAAGAUGACAUAAAAAUCUACCAUAUCCAAUACAAUCAGAUCUACCCAGGUCUCACUCCCAGUAAAAGUCAUAACACAAGAUCAGUAUACCACAUCCACCAUCAAAGAGUCUCUUAUAGAGGUAGAUAGACGAAUAGAAACAUCACAAACUGAAUAAAACCCCAAAUCAAAGUAUACAGACAUAUAAGAGAAAGUCGAUCCCAGAUUAAAUAAUACAAAUGCUAGUUUGAAACAAACGUGGAUGAUAUUUAUGGCAACAGCAUCGGAGGCCUCUACCACUUGUCUAACGGGUAUAGCAUAGUACUAUCCACGACCACCAACUGGCUGAAUAGCCCCACAACCACCACCAAGGGAUCCGCUACCUAUACUUCGCGCACCUUUAGUAGAACCCCUACCUCUCACAUCUGAAAUAAGAGUAGCCAUAAAUACACUACGAAGAUAGUCCUCAUCAAAAUAGACAGACUUAUCACAAACAUAGCAACCUCUAUGACCCAACUCAGUAGAAUGAGGUAUGACUAGACUGGAGCGACCAUCCAGAACUACUGAACCAGAAGACCCAUUACCUAAACUUUGUAAGGCUGCUUGCAUGAUUUACCAAGAUAACCAUGGAAACCUUUAGAAUCCCUACCUCAAGAAGUGUGACCUCUGAACUCACUCAGACUGUGCACCUUCUUGGCACCUCUAGAUGCUCAAAGAAUACCCUUAGUUAUCUUAGCAUGAUCCAUAAUACUCUGAAAUGAUGUUCCACAUACUACCAUCUGAGAUGUAUCUAGCUAGAGAAAAACAUCCAACCCCUUCAUGAACUUUUGAAUCUUUUCAAAUUCAAUGGCAAUUCUAGCAUAGGAAUAUCUAGACAAGGCAUAAAAGUGUCCCUCAUACUUUGUAAUAGUCAUCGAGCCCUGCUCCAGGGUAUCAAACUCAUCUCUCAUCCAAUCCCUCAAACUGAAAGGCAAAUUUAUCCAAAAAGGACUCAGUAAACUGGUCCCAAGUCAUAUCAGGAGAAUCGAGAGGUCUGCAACCAAUAAGUGACCUCCAUCAAUCUCUAGCGGCAUCUCUCAACCCAAGCAAACCCAGGAAAUGCAACUUUUCAUGACAAUGAAUCAAUAAAUCUUAGGCAUCCUCGCCUACAACACUACUGAAUCUAGGAGGACCCAAAUGAGUGAACCUCUUAAAUCUCUUCUGAUUCUCAAAAGACAUAACUACACUCGUAAUAAGAGGAGGAGUGGUGAAUUUGGCAAGUUGAGAUCCCACCUGAGAAGGCAACGUAAAUUAAGGUUGAACUCCUAACCUCAAAAUACCUUACUUGGAUGCAGGUGCUGAAAGAGGAGUAAUACUCGGAGUAUAUGGAGUACCAAAACAACAAGUAGGUAUUACUGGAGGAUCCACACUCGGAGCUAGAGAAACACCGUAAGAAGACCCUGGUAUAGACAAAGGUACAAUACUCGGGGCUAGGAGAACACCAGGCGUAGUCAAAAGAGCACCCUUCAAAUGGGUCAGCAAGCAAUCUAAUAACCCCUCCAAGAUUGGGGUAAAAGAACUCGCCGAAACUGACGUAGGACCCAUACCUCCAACAUGCUCAACACGAGUCUCAAGGGAGAGUCCCUUAGCACCACUCCUAGAUGGGGUAAAUCCUCAUGCCUGUCCACUACCUUGAGCCUGUCCACGACUCACAACUCACCUUUUAAAUUGGGCUCUCUCUCAAAUGAAGACUCUGCAUCUCUAACCUCACGAGAUCUAGUCAUCACUAUCUGCGCAGCAAAGAGUAAAACAUGACUUAGAACACAAGGUAUGAAGUAAAUCCUCACAAUAAGAAAAAAAUGAGAAAAGUUUUCUAAAGACAUCAUAUAGCCUCUAGAAGAUAGAUACGAACAUCUAUGUACCGAUCCGCGAGACUUUAUUAGAUAUUUCGCUCUUACACUAUUGAGAUCAAAUAAACCUGGUUGCUCCGAUACCAAUUUGUCAUGACCUAAAAACUAAGGGUCAGGAUGGCACAUGUCACGGCAAACCUUGACAACUAAGCCUAUCACACAAAUUGAUAUGAAAAGAGAAAACAAUAACAAUAACCCAAAGUAAGGAUUCUAGAACAAAAUUGAACCACAUAAUACAAUAAAAGCAGAAGAAUGUAACCAAAGAUAUCAUACCAUAAUUCCAAAACCUGGUGUCACAGAGUAAGAACAUCACUAGUACAACUCGAGAUCAAAAUACAUAAGAUAUUCAAAAUAAGAACAACUAUGUCUCUGAAUGCAAAAUAAAGACAUAGUCUAAAUAAAGAAAGAUAGUAGUUGACACUGGAAGAAAGAAUCCAACCGUUACCUCAAAAUAGAUCCAACGUAUCGCCCGAAAUCAACCACUAUGCUGUACAUUCAAGCUAGGAUCUACACUGAAAGGGCGCAGUAGGGGUGAGUACGGUCCACUUGUACUUAGUGGGUAUCAUAGGCCGACUGAGCAAAGCAGAAAAUAAAGCAUACAAAAUACACACUAAAGGCGCAUCAUCUGGAAUCAGAAAAUGUCCCAAAAGGUAGCUCACACCAUCUCCACUAAUAGUUUUAUAAUAUUUACAUACACCAUAACAAUACGAAAGAAAAGUACAAGUAUCCAAGUAUCACACAUACGAAUACGAAGGAAGAAAUACAUAUAGACAGGUAUCCCAAUAAGGAAAAUAAUACAUCACAGAAAUGUACAAAGUAAAUACAAAUGCAAUGGAGAUGAUGAUGAUAAUGCUAAUGCUAAUGAUGAUGAUUCCCGAGGUUGUCGCACAACCUCUGCAUACACCUACGAAGCUAAAGCUUCCCGACAUAGGACCCAUCGGGGGUUCGUCAACUCGUAUUCAACCAAUAUCCAUAACUUAUCUGUGGCACAUCCAUCGGUAUAGGGUUUUAAAGAUGUCACAUUUUCUAUCAGAAAAAGUCAGUGUUUCUAGUAUUUUCAUGGUGGUACCAAUGUGUCAUAAUUGUAUAUGAUAUGAAGGUGUAAUGCUCACAAUCAAUCAUAAUGAGUAUUUUCAUAUCCAGCCAAUAUAACAACUGAGUGAGCCAAUAAUCCACUCAUUUUUUCAACCAUCCAUGAACUCCAACAUAAAUCAUAUGCCAAGAGAGUAAAAUACAAUUAAAUUAUACCAUUGAUACGACAUUAGGCUUUUUCACUAACAUGAUACAAUUAAUUUCACGUAUACAAAGCUAACAACAUCAUAUAAGACCCCACGCAUUCACACAUAACAAAUAAUAUCUCAAAAACCGCUAAAUACAUCAGUAUAUAUGCCCCACACGGGCACGACACAAUAAUUAUAGCCAUUUUCAUGAUUAGUUCUCACACCCUUAACAUGAUUUUGUAUCAACAUUAACUACCCAACUCAAUCUAAAGAAAGUUAAGCUAUAACCUAUCUCGAAUGUCGAAAAUCAGUUUGAAAGUCUUCAAUCCGAAGCCUUACUCCUUACGAACGUACUCAAAAGCAACUAAAUCAUACAAAUAUAGAAUCUAUGCGUUAAAAAAAAGCCAGCAAUACCCAUAUUGUCUAUUUUUAUCUUGGGGUCAAAAUGGACCCCUAAAAUAGAUUUUCAAAAGAGAAAUAUAAAAUCGUAAUUUUAUUUUUGAAAUAUAUUUUCUAUAUUUAUAUGAUUCUACAGCUAAAAAUCUAAAUGAAAAUGAGUUAAAAAUAAAGUCUCAAUUAAAAAGAAAAAUCAUGCUUAAGCUUUACCAGCAAAAAUCCUCGAAAUUCAUUUUGAAAUCAAGAAUUGAAGUUGUUUUGAAGAUGAAAUCGAAAGAAAGUGAUAAUUAUAAGAUUAGAAACUCACCCAAGUGAAAACAAAUUGAAAUCGGGGUUUAAAUCGAAAUAUUAUAAUUUUAGUCCUUAAGGGUCAAAAUUUCCAAUUUCUACCUAAUUAUUCGCGUUUAAACAAAAAUUACAUGAUGAAAUUUGGUGAAAAUAGUUGAAAUAGGUGUUAUGGAGCUUACCCAAGCUUAAAAGUGGAAGAAAUUGCUCAAAUCACAAAACUCUAAGCUUCAAGUUUUAAAAAUAAUGAAAAAUGAUGAAACGUGGGUAUAUAAAGGACCAAGCAUCGAAUACGCAAUCACCGAAUCAUGUACGUGGUACCUGGCCUGAGGGCAGGUAUCGCAUAUGCGAACCUGUCAUCGCAUACGCGAGUCCCACAAUUGCGACCAAGAUGUCGCGUAUGCGACACUUGUAUCUGGUAGACUGAGUCGCGUAAGCGACUGAUCCAUCGCAUUUGUGGGUACACCAACACCAGUUGGAGACUUGGAGAAUUUCAAGUCUCCGGAGACCCCUCGAGAUUCAUUUGAAAUCUCGUGAAUGCAAAUUAACUAUGAUACCCUAUCAAAUUCGAUGCUCCGGACUUAAUGGUGAUAUCAGAUUUUUGAAAAAAUGACAUUUUCACAAAGUUGAUCCCCGAAAUUUAAUUUCACAACUUUUCAAAUCGAAGGUCGAAGUGAGAUAUAAAAUUUAUAAAACCACACCAACUAUGUUACCAACCUAAAAUCAACGUUUCAAAUAUGUUGGUGCAAUUUGUUUGGCCAUUCGAUACGCAGAUCAAUGAAUGUUGAUCGAAGUCAACUAUAAGGCUUUUCAAGCCACUAAAAACCAUAAUUUCACAUAAAGCACACCAAAAUGCAUUGAAAACUGUAUCAAGCAUCCCCACAUUCCAGAAAUACCACAACGCAACCACAGGGAGGGGUAAAAUGAUCAAAUCACACGUAAAUGAAUAUUUCACUUAAAUCAUCAAAGAUUAGGUCGUUAUAAGAAUCCAGUUCUGAACCAUAAUUUUCGUCAAGCAAAUGGUGUGGCAGACUUUUUGUGCAAGAUGGGUAUCAAACUACCACCUAACCAAGUGCGAAUUUUGCUAAUCCCUUCAAGCCAAGCUUUGCAGUUUAUGGAAGUUGAUCUACACGAUGCUCCUUCAUCUUAUAAUAAAUUAGCUAGUUUUGACAAUCCAUUUGUAUUGCCUCGUGCUCAGGACACUCAGGACAUCUAUAAUAAAUUUCCUUUUAUCCCCAAAAAAACUAUAGGCUAAUUGGGUUUUAAACUUUUGAAUGGUAAGAAACACGUUGGAAUAUAGUAAUAACUAGUUUACUUGAUCGCGCUUCGCACAGUCUAAGAAAAAUUCUCUUAUAGUUUUACCAUUUUUUCAAUUAAGAUCUGUAAAAUUCAAAGAUAAGCAAUUUAAUGAAAAAUUUAAAAUACAAAAAAAAAAAAUCAAAAUAAAAGGUAAGAAAUUAAUUCCUAUAUUUAGUUUAAAAUAUUUUUCUACCAAAAAAUUAUCUUACUAUAUAGAUGUGAAAUAAAGAAACGAAUACAUCAUUUAAGAGUUUUCUUCUAUACAGCCAAAUCAAAGUGAUAUAUGAUAGUAUAAUACCAUAGAAUAUAUAACAAUAUUCCUACUUUAAAUAAUAAAAUUAGAGGGAUAAAUUUGGACAGGACCUCAUGAAAUAAAAGAAUAUUAACUUUUACAAAUUGAUAACUUAAGUGCAGUAUUUACAUAGUUCAUCGAUUUACAUGUUUACGUAUUACUGAUUUAAGAUAAUUAUAUGUAUUAUCCUACCUAUUUUAUCCUUGCUCAUUAUAAUUUAAAUUUGUUGUUAAAGUAAAAUAUGCAUAUCUUGAAUUUCAUGAAUAUUUUAAUAAGACAGGUCUUCGUCUUGUUUUAUGUAUGUACUUAUAUGCACGGUAUUUAAUUUAUUUGUACAUUUACUAAAUGUAUAAGUAUUUCACUCUUUUUUAUUUUAGCAAAAACAUUAAUUUUGACAUCAUUUAGAGAGAAGAAAAAUACAUGCAAACAAAAUGAAAAAAAUUUACACAUUAACCCCUUGAAUAUUUUGAAUUGCAUGACUUUGGCAUCAUUCUUUACACUUCCCUUUGUAUUCCUUUUCCUUUUCUUUUCUUUGUUUUUCUUUUCUUUUUAUUUUUUAAUGUCAUUUCGUACUACAUUCUUUGUCCAUAAUGCAUGGCUUGCAAUAAUUCAUAUUCUGUUUAGUAUCUAUAAUAUAUGUCCUUUUAUCCAAAAAAAAAAAAAAAGAUCAUAGGCUAAUUGGGUUUUAAACUUUUGAAGGGUAAGAAACACGUUGGAAUAUAGUAAUAACUAGUGUAUUUGACCGUGUUUCGCACAAAAAAAUUUCUCUUAUAGUUUUAAAAUUUCUAAAUAAGAUUUGAAAAAUUCAAAGAUAAACAAUUUAAUGAAAAGUUUAAAAUAAAAAAAAUGGUAUAAGUAAAAUAAAAAGUAAGAAAUUAAUUCCUAUAUUUAGUUUAAAAUAUUUUUCUAUCAAAAAAAAAUAUUUUACUAUAUAAAUGUGAAAUAAAGGAACUAAUACAUCAUUUAAGAGUCUUCUUCUAUAAAACCAAAUCAAAGUGAUAUAAAAUAGUAUAAUACCAUAGAAUAUAUAACAAUAUUCCUACUUCAAAUAUGAAAUUAAAGGGGUAAACUUGGUCAGGACCUCAUGAAAUAAAAGAAUAUGAAAUUUUACAAAUUAAUAACUUAACUACAAUAUUUACAUAGUUCAUUGGUUUACAUAUUUACUUAUUACUAGAUUAGUUGCACGUGUCUCGCACAUGUAACUUUUGAUUUUAUGAUAAUUUAAUAAUUGAAGUUUUAAGUCCUUAUCUUGUUCUUUUGGGCUUUAAUUAAAAGACAUAUCUCUUGAACUUCAGAAGAAUAAGCAAGAAAUCUUUGAUAUAUAAUAGAACUUGAUGAAAGGUAAAAUAAAAAUGAUGUUAAUGACUGUAACAAGACAACUUGAAUCAAAAUCAAAAUAAGAAAAAAAGGAAGAAGUAUAUUCCAAUUAAUAAAGUGUUAUGCAAGUAUAAGUAAAUUUAGAGUUCUAUUGGCAGGUGUAGAACCCUUCUUCAAAUUUGGAGACAUAUCAAUACAAGAACUACAAUGACACCAAAAUCAAUAUUUUGCUUUACAUAGAUUUUCCACUAUUUUCUUAGAAAGGAUCAAGAAAAAAAAAAUUAGCUGCAAAAAUCAACUAAGGGCAGCUUCGGUUCAUUAUCUAGCUGCUACAUCUUGAACAAUGGCUUCUUUAUGUUAUUAUACAUUAAAUAAUGCUAAAUUUAUUAUUUUCUAAUUAUUUUUGAAGUUGUAGAUUCAUGAUUUGAGUUCGACAUUAAAUAAUGCUAAAUUUAUGAUGAUUGACACCCAAUUUUGACCUCCCGAUACUCUCUUAAGCUGCUAUUUUGUCAAUAUUAUCUAACUAUUUUUUACAUAUUAUUUUGGUAUCAAAUAAUUUUCACAAGUCAUAUUCAUGAUUUAAACAUAUACAAAUUAUUUUAUUACUUUUUUAUUUAUAAUAUUCUACAUAAUUUUAUUUUGUAAAUAUAUACACACUCACAUUUUUUAGAAAUAUAUUAUCUAUUAUUAUUAUUAUUAUUAUUAUCUAUAAUUUUAUAUAAUAAUCUUAUGUAAAAUUAAUUUUUAAUGUAUUUUUUUAAUAUCUACGUCUUAUUAUUUUUCCUGCAGUAAAUUUUAAUUUAUUCUCCUAUACAUUUUAAUUUCUAGUCAUUGUUGUACUCAAUUUGCAACAAUUAUAGUCAAAAUUAACAUCAUUUUGGCCAUAAAAUCAAAUUCCAACUUUUGACCUAUUUUUUAAAAUUAUUUUAACCUCAGCUGUUUAUUCAAAUUAAUCCAACGGUUGAGAUCAGUUAAACUUUCCUUUCCCUUUAAACAACAAUACCCAAACCCUAAUCGCCAUUAUUCCCAUAGCAGCCGCAACCCCCCUCACUCUGUCCACCUCUCACCGCCGGCCACCACCAGAGAGACCGAUAGACGCAACUCGGCCAUCCUCCGAGUGACACCGCCGCCCUCUGGACAGAAACAGCUGCAGCCGACCUCCUUUAUCUCCCUCUCUUUCUCUUUAAAGCCACCGGGAAACACCAUGCUCCGGCGAGCCGCGUCUGCUGACGCCGGUGCCCUUCACUAUCUCUUUUUCCAGUCGAUCCGCCAGACAUCACUAGCCAGAAGUUCCACCAGUGCCGCUGCUGCCUCCCCACGUCGCCAAAACAGUCCAUCCGACUCCAACCAACAACGAUCCGCCUCGAGCCGCAACUCUUUACGCCCGCACUUUUCGUCACCUCCUCGUCGGAGUUGACAACCAACGAGGUCUACUACGUAUUUCGGGUUUGAUUCUUGUGAAAACAUGAUUGUGGUUUCGGCUUGUUUAUUAGUUCCUUUAGACUGCUGCAUGUGAAAAACAUUUUGGUGAACUUUAAUUUUGUGUUUGUGUUCCUUUAUUCGUUGAUUACCAUUUUCCGCUGAAUCAUUUUUACUGAUCUUGUUCAUCGAGAUUACGAGACUUGAUUAGUAUUAAGUCUUAUGUGUUGUGAUUAAUUGUGAUAGUCUUGGUGACCUUUUCUGUUCUUGUUCAUGGCCUAAUGAAUGACAACCUCUUUUGAACGCUAAUUAUGGUGAUUUUAAAAUCCUUGACUUGUGCAAAUUAUCAAGUAAUGUGUGGCAGAUCGACAUAUUUUUUGGUAAAAUUGAUUUUUCUUGUCUUAUCAUUUGAAAAAUCUCUUGAUUGAUUGUCCUCUUUAUUUCAUUGCUUUUUAUAUUUUUUAACUUGGUUAUAUAUGUCGAUCGUAAUCUGUUUAUUUGAAAUUACGUUAAUUAAGGAAAUGAUUCUUGCUGAUUAAUUUCCAUGAAUGUCUCAUUUUCUUUCAAUUUAGUUAACUGGUUGAUGAAAAUAUUUUCCUUUACUUUAACUUUUAGACACAUUUUGUUUUGAAAAAAAAAUCACACUUGAUUAUAAUUCCCCUCUUUUAAAGGAAAAUAUUUCACUGAUUGAUGGGAUUAUUAUUUCCUUUUCUCUUUUCCUCUUGAUUGAUUCCCUGAAUAUUCAUAAUUAUUUUCUUCCUUUCUAAUAGUCAUUCCUCCCACUAUAUAAGGACACCCCUUCCCAUUCUUUGACAAUCUCUACACUCCCUCGUACAAAAGCUUUAAGCAAAAAUAAAAGUUACUUGAUUUUCUUUUUCUAAGUUGCAUUUUACCUUCGAAGCUUUGAUCUCAAUCUGUCCGUGGCAAUUCGCGUCAUGACUUUUGGUAUUAUUUAGUUUUAUUAUUAUUACCUUGUUAUUAUAAACUGGUAAGUCUCUGUUGACGUAAUUUCCUUUAUACCUUAUAUCAUGAUGCUAUAAACAUGCCUAUAGGAAUUAUUCGGUGUUUGCUUAUGUCUGUGUUAUGUUAUACUCUUGCUUAUACUGCUAUUACAUAGUCUCACAAGUGUAAAUAGACAGUUUCGGGGAUUUGAAGAGUUGACGGGGUAUUAGGGAGGGGGUUGCCCAUUCCUUUUCCUUUAUUUAGUUAUUUAUUUUAAUUCAUUGCGUUGUAAUAACUUUUGUAAGCCUCGGUGUAAUAAUAAAUUUAUGGGGACUGCUUGGGGGAGGAAUUUAUGUGUUUUACAUGCUAUGUGAUCACGUAGGCAAACAUAACUUAGGCUUAUGUGUAUUACGUGCUAUGUGAAUCACUUAGGCAAACAAAUCUAGGAUUUAUUAAUACGCCAAUUGCUUAGGCAAACUUAAUUUACGAUUUAUUAAUUGAUUCGCUUUGAAAUCUUACUUUUUAGAAUUUUAACUAACAUCCGGCAUCUUAAAUUGAAGUCAAGCAUCACGACGUAUAAAAUUAGUGAUCAACUUUAGUGUCUAAUUUUACCGCAUUUUUAAAGUCAUUUUCAGCACAUCGUUUUUUUUUGUAUGUAUAAUGUUCAGCAUGUUUAGAAAUUUCAGCAAUAUAUAAAGUCAAUGGCGACAUUUUAUUUUUCAGCCUAUUUUAUUAAUUUGUCGCUUGUUAAAUAAGGUCUUCAACACUUUUUGGCCUUUAAAUAGCAUUUUUAGAAGCUAAAACUCAAUUUUCCACGCAUUAAAUCGUUUUUCAGCAUUCAAAGUAAUUCCAGCAUAUUAAAUCAAUUUUUUUAGUAUUUUCUGGCAUAAUUUUAACUGAAAAAAGUACUUUUGCAAUAACUAUGAAAUUUGGUUCUAUCUCGAACAAUAAUUUUUUGCAACUCAACUUUCGCAAUAAUCAAAGGCUGUUUCAAUUUUUGAGAAAUAAUCUUCAACAAUAUAAGGUGGGCUUUGACAUUUAAUUCUCAACACUUGUUAUAACGAAUUUUGACAUGCUGAUUCACAUUUUGACAUUUUUGUUCCAUCAUAUUGAUCGAAACUUAGAUAUCAUACCUAUAGGGUUAAUUAUAUCACAAUAAAUUAUUAUUUGUCUUUGCAUGUUAAUCACCUUAAUUACUUCUUAAUUAACAAAGAGGUUUCUUUGAGACUAUUAUGUGCUACUUGACGUCCUAUUUUUUUACGCGCUUUGAGUUCAACUAGAAAACCUAGAUUCAUUUGUCUAGCUCACAAAUUCAAAAUAGCAAAGUCCAAUGCCUCUUGGACAAUAGGUUGGGAUGGUAGGCAUUCUAGAGGCGUUAGUUUUAUCCUUUCUUUUUAGAACGCUUUUAAGUUUGACAAUUAGCUUAGGUGGGGGGAAGGGUAGUCAUUCGGAAGUGAUGAUACCCAACAUAUAUUACACGACUAUGACAUUGUCACUUGUCUAAGAAUUUGAUUGUCGUCUAGUGGGUCAGAAUCAAGUUGGGGUUCUGAUCCAAAUAAAAUCAAAAACAUUUCCUUGGUUCGACUUUUUGAUUUUAUUCUUUUAUUUUAUCUGUUUAUCUAUUUGGGGUAGUUAGUUUAUUUAUGCAAUCCCCUUUGCUAUAAUCUGUGUCAUUCUUAUUUUCUCAUUUUUAUUGUUCUUUUAUUAAUUCUUGUGUUGUUUACCAUUUAGGUAAUUAUCAAAUGGGAAUAACCAAAUAACUUUUUUUUGUUUAUUAAUUACUUUAUCACUUAGUUAACAUCAAGUUAAUAUAAAUCAGUGACCUUUGUUUUAUCGCAUAAAAUUUUCACGUAAAAUAUGAAUUCGGUUGGAAAACACAUUUGUGGACCUCGAAAGGUGACUAACACCUUUCUUUCGAGGUAAUUUGAAUCAUUAUUCAAAUUUCUGGUGAACUAAAACUAAUUAACAAAAUAGGUUCGUAGUUAGCCUAGAAUGGUGCCCUAACACACCUUAAUACAUUAGGUGGCGAUUCUUCACUCUCAUUAAACAAUCCUAAAAAGGAGUUGUCAUGUCGAAUCCCGCUUUUUGCGAGAAAAAUGAGGCGCGGCAGAAUGGCUACUCCGCUGGAGAUCUUAGGUUCUACCCAUUACAAGUUUGUGUUUUAUGUGGGAUUCUACUACUUUGUCUUAUUUUUCUAUAAUUACCUUAUCUUUUUUCCCCUUUUAUUGUUUACAUGUUAGUCUCUCCUUUUCCCUUUUAUGUGUUAUUCAUAUUUCUCCAUGUCUAUCUCUUUCUCUUUUCUUCCUUUUGUUGGCUAUGUGCUUUCAUGUUUAUUUACUUUUGUAUUGCUAAGCAUGCCAUUGUAUUUUUGCUAUAUGCUACAUGUUACUGCUUUAUAUAACUGACAUUUUGCUCAUACUUUCCUCUACUUGGAACCUCCUUUAUUUUAUUAUGAACGGUCGUGUGGGUAUACAGACGUUCUUUCCUAAAAUACCCUUCGAAAAAUGCCUUGUGGAUCGAUCGAUCAGUGGUGCAUCUGUUGGGUUCGAAAUCAAGAGGGCGUCAUGCGGAAGCUAUUAGUUGCAAAUUAUGAGACAAUAAAUAAGACGAUAAAGAAAAAAAUACUAAAAAAAAUAACAUUAUUAUAUGUUUUGGCCAAUCGGCCAACAUAUUAUAAAAUCUAAUAUCAAAAACAUUAAACCUAUUGGGAGAAAUCUCCCCCUAAACAAAGACUCUUUAAUGACUACAUUGUGGAUGUUAUUGUGUUAUGGUAUGAGAAGAGAAUCUUCUAUUUAUAGAUGUACAAAACCUUUCCUCCAAGAAAGAUGUUUGCCAAAUAUGAAAAAUUUAUAUUUUCCUUUAAGGAAAAGUAAAAGUAUUUAUGGUUACUUUUAUUUUCCUUAUAAGAAAAAAUAAAACUUAAAUUUGGUAAGAAAACCGGGGCAAAAAUCCUAACAAAUCUCUCAUUUUUGGCUUGAUUUUCUUGACUUGAUCCACCUUCUUCAUGUCAUAUACAUAAUUUUGGUUCUUCACAUAAUCUUCAUUUAUCUCUGUUGUUUGUCAUGCUUAAAAAUUGAGCCCUUUUGGGUUAAAAAUAUAUUAUCCCUUUUGGGUAAAAAAUAUUGGAGUCCUAAAUAGGGUUAAAAGAGAGCUUUAUUGUCAAAGAUGUGACAGCAGGAUUGUUGAAAAUAUGAUUGAAAUAUCUUCUCCACAUGUAGUUGGACAAAAUCCUCGUUAUCAUCCAAUUGAUUACAAAUUGAUUAGAACUGCCUUAGACUUGUCUUCAACCUCGCUUUACCAAACCAUUGGAUCUUUGAACCAUAGUCUCUGCUAUCAAUUGUUGGGUUUGAAAUUGAGAGAGCGUCAUGCGGAAGCUAUUAGUUGCAAACUAUGAGACAAUAAAUAAGACGACAAAGAAAACAAUACUUAAAAACAUAAAAUUAUUAUAUGUUUUGGCCAAUCGGCCAACAUAUUAUAAAACCUAAUAUCAAAAACAUUAAACCUAUUGGGAGAAAUCUCCCCCUAAAUAAAGACUCUUUAAUGACUACAUUGUGGAUGCUAUUGUGUUAUGGUAUGAGAAUGAGGUCUUCUAUUUAUAGAUAUACAAAACCUUUUAUCCAAGAAACAGGUUUGCCAAAUAUGAAAAAAAUUUAUAUUUUUCUUUAAGGGAAAGUAAAAGUAUUUAUGGUUACUUUUAUUUUCCUUAUAAGGAAAAAUAAAACUUAAAUUUGGUAAGAAAAUCGGAGAAAAAAUCCUAACAGCAUCGACAGUCACAAGCCUUCCCACUCUCGAGUUGUCCAUUCGAGGGAACCAUGUCAUAAACCCAUUCUUGUCCUUUAGGUCUUGGCUACAUAUUUCUUUUACUAAGGAAUAUGCGUCCCAUUCAACCUAGGAUGCCUUGGCACCUUUGAUGCGUUGAAUGUUGUCUCAUUCAAAGUUCAAAGGGGUUCACGACCCCAAAAUGACGCAUAAUACUAUUUAUUAUGUGUUGCAUUUCUAUGUAUGCAUUGAUAUUGUGCCUUUCUUUCUUGCCUUUAUCGCUCUUUAUUCUUAGUUUUCCUCAUUUUGGAGUUCUUUACUCUCGAAGUUUUUAUCAUAUUAGGACCCUACAAUACACUCUUAGGGCCUAUUCAAAACUUUCCUUCAAAUUAUCCUUCUGACUCAUCCAUUAGUAUAUUACUCAUGAUUUUAAUCUCAUCCAUAAUCUUUUGGUGCAACUUAUCAUUUUAGGACAUUCUCUUCUUAAUGCCUUCAAUGCUUACAUACUAUCAUCCUUACCAUGUUAUCAUAUUCAUGGUGUAUUCUAGCUCUCCUAACAUAGAUCUUUCAUAACUUUUAUUCGCUUAGAAUGAGCAUAACUCAUUAUGUUCAAAUAAGUAGAAUAUUCAUUCUAGACUCUCAUGCGUACUCUUUUUACUAAUCGUAAGUCAUUUCUUCCAAAGUUGACUAGAGUAGAACAUCAGAAAUGGUCGGUCAAGCAAUGUUCAUCAAUUUUGUCAAUAGCAAAGUUGAGCAUGAGGGUUUGGUGUUGCAUCAAAACAAGGUUAUUUCGAACAUCAUAAGGAUGGAAAGAAGAAUAAAGAGAAUUAGGGGAAUAAUUAUUAUUCUUCGAGGUUCAGUUGAGAUGACACCAAGUUUUCCAGAGCCAUUAUCUGAAAUAGACUUUAGCACCCCCAUCUACACCACAAGGUCUCCUAUAUUAACGAACUCACCCACGCCUAAUUAUGAGGUGCAAAUGUUUUCAAGUCAGUAUUCAGUUGCACUACAGAAAGCACUUAAUGGAUUGACUACUAUGGGCAAGGAGAAGAAAACGGAAUUACAAAUUCCUAAGCAUAAGACAGGGUCAUCUCAACAGCCUGAGAUGAAUAAGUCAUCCAAAGCUAAGGAAAAAGACAAUGAUAAGAUUGAGGACUUGAACUUUUCAUUAUAUGAUGGGUCUGAAAAUCCCUUCCCCCAUUUGAAGGAGUACCUUGACAAGCUAUCGGUUAUAGGGCAAAGUGAUAGCCUGAAGAUAAAACUAUGUUAUUUCACUUAAAGGUCCAACAUAGAUGUGGUACGCCAAAAAUGAUACUAGAAAGUGGGUCUCUUGGGACCAUUUGGAAAGUGACUUUCUUAGGUGGUUCAACAAUAAGCUAAAGAGGAAGCUGACAGUCGAGACCAAUUUAGAUAGAGGGAAGACGAUCAUCGAUAAGACAUCAAAACCUCCAAAGCCUGAAGUAAGCAUACCCCAACCUCAACUGAUAUAGUACCCAGCUCCAGAAAUCAUUCCAGCAUCCAAUUAUCUCCAAGCCUAUUAUCCUAGUCCUUCACGAAACCUCCUCCACAGACUGUUUGCUACCCACCUUCAUUUGUUGCUCCAACAUCAAACUACCUUCCAAUGUCCACUAACAAAUCAACGAUCCAAUCAAUCUACCAAACCUCAACAUAAGUUGUAAAAAAAUCCAUCAAAAUAGUACACUUCUCCAGGUGAACCCAUAGAAUAGUUAUAUGAAUGACUCAAGGAUGAGGGCUACCUUACGCCCAUUGUUGUCAUACAUUGUGAUCCUAAGUCUCGAUAGUAUCAUCCUGAUCACAUUUGCGCCUAUCAUUCUGGGAUGAAAUGGCAUCGUACUAAGGCAUGUUUUGCCUUGAAGAACAUGAUUCAAAAGUUGAUUGAUACUAAGGUAAUAAAUAUGACGGGGUCAAAUUCUGAUGCUGAUUGAUUUCAUAAGCUUGACUUACACUGGUUGACAAUGGUGAAGAGGAUAUCAAGUUGAUUCUCUGCUCCAGAAUCUCAAAUAUUUGAAACUCCUUCAAGUUUUACAAUUUUAAUUUUCUUUGACACUCUUCUUACUUUUGUAAGGUGAACUACGAUCGACCUAAUUCCUCUAUAUGAGGGAUACGUAGGCCUCAUUUAAUGAGUUCAGUAUCAUCAUAAUAAAAUCUUCUUUUCCCUAUUUUGUUAUUUUUCUAUAUGAAUUUGGAUGAAUCAAUAAUGUGACAUAUGGAUUAACAAAUCUGAUGUUCAACAAAAGUCGACUUUGUUCAUUUCCUAUCUUCCCAUCUUCUUUAUAAUUAAAAUUUCCAAUUUAACAUCAUGUUCUAUUACUAUCAUUUUUUGUGCAUUAGGAUCUUAAAUCUUUAUGCCUAGGUCAAUUAUUAAGCCCUAGUCUUCAUCCUAGAAUGCCUUUAUUUUAUAUUUAUUAUGUUUUAAACUUAUAUGUGCUAUGUGGUAACUUUUGUUUGGGCUUAUUUAUUUUGUUUAAAGGUUAUCUAGCAUUUGAAAAUUGAUCUCAAUUAAAUCUGCAAUAUGACAAAUAUGCUCAAUAUCCGAAAAGACUCCAUCCCUCCUUCUCCUUGCCCAAGACAGAACACUGUGCCUCCUUAUCCUCGCCUUACUCCCAUACCCUCUCAAUAAUUUACUUCUGCCCGUAAGAGAGUUGAUUUUGAUACACGUCGUCGAAGGCUUUAUGACCUAGAGAAAAUGUUAGAUGAGAAAUUGCAUUCUCAAGGCAUUUACAACUUGAGGUAUGAGAAACUGUGUCUAUAUCCAAAAGUUAAUUUACCUCCGGGAUACAAAAUUCUAAAGUUUAACAUAUUUGAUGGGCGUGGAGAUCCAAUCACACAUUUAAGGGACUAUUGCGGAAUGCUAGUUGGCAUAGGAUAUCAUGAGGCUCUUCUAAUGAGAUUAUUUGUUCAAAGCUUGUCAGGAAUGGUGCUUACCUAGUUCGCCCUAUAAGAUUUCGACAAAUGGCAUAAUUGGGAAGAAUUGGCUCUAGUUUUCUCAGGCAAUAUAAGUUUAAAAUCAAUACCGGUCCAGGAAUGUGGGAUUUUCUUGAGAUAAAAAGAAUAGACUAUGAAUUUUUUGAAGAGUAUGCAAUACGGUGGCGGUUAGAAGCUUCUAAGACACGUCCUUCUGUACCUGAAGAAGAGUUGGUCCAAAUUUUCCUCAAAUCACUAGAUGGAAUAUACUUUUAAAAAAUGUUCUUCCUAAUGAGUCACAGUUUUGAGAGUUUAAUUUCAAUUGGAAAGAAAUUAGAAUAUAAAAUUUGAGUGGGGAGAAUCAUUGAUGUUUAUGCAAAGUUGGUCACUUUUCAAACACCAAAGAGUCUAUCUGAGGAAGGAGAAGAGAAUUCAUCACCCUCCAUACCUCAGACACAAGGCUAUCAAAAUAAUGAAGGAAUUUAUUUUGUUUUUGGUUCUCGUAAGGUAUAUAUUUAACCUUAUGACUCACAAGAUUCUCAAAGCAAGGCUUGUCAGAUCCAACCCUACUCUAUCCAGCAAGGUUCUCAAAGUGAGACUUCUCGAACACAACCCAACUUUCAACAAAGGCCUUAUUCAGUACACAAUGCUUUUCAUCAAGUGAAGAGAGUAAGUGUCAUCCCUCAAAUCCUAUUGGAGCGGACUGGCACCCAUAACCGAGGAGGCCCAGGAGAACCAGCUCAUAACCUUAUACUUCCUAUGCAUACCUCUAUGACAACCCAAAAUUCGGACAGCAUCAUGUCGCAUAUAAAAGAAAAUAAUCACUUGUAUAAGCUCGAGCACAUAUAUAUAUGUAUAUACAAUACUUGGCCGUUGGAGCCAUCACGUCUAUUAACAAAACACCACCCUGACUGUAUAUUAGGUCUACAAAGCCUCUAGAUAAUACACAGAGUUUAACUAAGGCCGGGACACACCCCGCCAUAUAACUAACUUCUAUAAAAUACCAAAAGUGACUGGAUAUGACACGAAAAGCCCCGAAACAAACUGGAGCUCACCAAAAGCAGCUGGAUAUCCUGGCACCUAUUUCUGCGGUGUAUGAGCUGAGGUACCUGUGCCUGCAACAUGAAAUGUAGGUCCCCCGUGGGGGACGUCAGUACGAAAUAUGUACUNNNNNNNNNNNNNNNNNNNNNNNNNNNNNNNNNNNNNNNNNNNNNNNNNNNNNNNNNNNNNNNNNNNNNNNNNNNNNNNNNNNNNNNNNNNNNNNNNNNNNNNNNNNNNNNNNNNNNNNNNNNNNNNNNNNNNNNNNNNNNNNNNNNNNNNNNNNNNNNNNNNNNNNNNNNNNNNNNNNNNNNNNNNNNNNNNNNNNNNNNNNNNNNNNNNNNNNNNNNNNNNNNNNNNNNNNNNNNNNNNNNNNNNNNNNNNNNNNNNNNNNNNNNNNNNNNNNNNNNNNNNNNNNNNNNNNNNNNNNNNNNNNNNNNNNNNNNNNNNNNNNNNNNNNNNNNNNNNNNNNNNNNNNNNNNNNNNNNNNNNNNNNNNNNNNNNNNNNNNNNNNNNNNNNNNNNNNNNNNNNNNNNNNNNNNNNNNNNNNNNNNNNNNNNNNNNNNNNNNNNNNNNNNNNNNNNNNNNNNNNNNNNNNNNNNNNNNNNNNNNNNNNNNNNNNNNNNNNNNNNNNNNNNNNNNNNNNNNNNNNNNNNNNNNNNNNNNNNNNNNNNNNNNNNNNNNNNNNNNNNNNNNNNNNNNNNNNNNNNNNNNNNNNNNNNNNNNNNNNNNNNNNNNNNNNNNNNNNNNNNNNNNNNNNNNNNNNNNNNNNNNNNNNNNNNNNNNNNNNNNNNNNNNNNNNNNNNNNNNNNNNNNNNNNNNNNNNNNNNNNNNNNNNNNNNNNNNNNNNNNNNNNNNNNNNNNNNNNNNNNNNNNNNNNNNNNNNNNNNNNNNNNNNNNNNNNNNNNNNNNNNNNNNNNNNNNNNNNNNNNNNNNNNNNNNNNNNNNNNNNNNNNNNNNNNNNNNNNNNNNNNNNNNNNNNNNNNNNNNNNNNNNNNNNNNNNNNNNNNNNNNNNNNNNNNNNNNNNNNNNNNNNNNNNNNNNNNNNNNNNNNNNNNNNNNNNNNNNNNNNNNNNNNNNNNNNNNNNNNNNNNNNNNNNNNNNNNNNNNNNNNNNNNNNNNNNNNNNAUAUCCACCUUCCAUAACUCAAUUACCAUAUCCACCUUCCACAAUUCAAGACAACUAAACCAUGCAAAAUAGUCCAUAACCCUAUUUCCAUCACCUUUUAAUAACAACCAAUACAUAUAAUCCUCUAUCACACAUAUACAUAUGGAAAAGAACAAAGGAAAAUAAUAUUCAUACCUUAGAAUUCACCUCUUGAUUAUGAAAUCCUAUUUGCACAAAUAAUAGGUGCCGUUCGAAGCUCUCGAGAUGACAAACGCAGUUAUCGGAUUACUUUGAAAUUUCUACGAUUGAAUCAAAAGUAAUUUGAAGGUAAAAUUUGGCUAGGGUUUGUUCUUUCUCAAUGAUUGAUCAAUGAUUGAUGAUGAAAAUGAUUUUUUGAACUCAUAUACAUGUAUAUAUACACAUAUUCCCGUCCAUAAUAUAAUAAAAAAUGACUAAAAUGCCUUUAAAAUUUAAAUAAUGUCAAAUCUGUCCUUUGGUGGACUGUUUUGAUAAGCUAAAGUAGAUCGACCAUAACUCUUUGCUCCGAUAUCGGAUUUGGGUAAAAUUGGUAUCGUUGGAAGGAUAAUUCAAAGGGAUUUCAUUUCAUAAAAAGUAGGCCACCCAGUUCGUCCUGUUCAAGGAGUUAUGAUCGUUUGAAGUUGAACCUAAAAAUCUGUUUGAUAGGCUGAAGUAAAACGAGUAUAACUCCUUACUCAGACGUUGGUUUUGGAUGAAACUAAUUGCAUUGGAAAUAAGACUCAAAGAUCUUUCUUUUCAUAGGUCGCAUCUCUCCAGUUUAUUAUAUUAAGGGAGUUUUGAUCGUUCGAAGUUGACCCUAAAAUUCAGCUGGCCUCAGGAUUUGUGUGUAGAAAAUUUUCUUGUACAUUUACUAUUCCCAAAUAUCCCGGCCACCGUUUUAUAGUUUCGAAUGUGCUCGAUUAUAUCCGAAACCUAUCCAUUUUUGGAAAUCUUUAUAUCGUUGGAAAGCUUAUUCAAUAACUUUCGCAUGGAACCAUCGACGGGCAAAUUCUGGUAUAAAUAAAAUAAAAAAAUUAAUUCCAUAUAAAUAAGACCAAUACACAUACUUGAAUACACCAAUACACGUACUUGAAUACGGGGUGUUUCAAUAAGGUCUCGAACUUUUACUCCCUUGACUGAGCCUUUGGCGAACAUAUUUGAAAUAUUAAGGUCCCAAGGUAUCGUAGAACUGAGGAGAGGGUGGAUCCCUACACAUCCACCCCCUCAUUUUGAUCCAUCUAAAAACUGUACUUAUUAUUCGAACAUUCAAGGUCAUGAUAUUGAGGAAUGCUCAGUUCUAAGGUACAAGAUUCAGAAUCUGAUUGAAAAGAAAAGGAUAAAAGUGCACCGAGACUCAAUAAGCAAUGAUCUUGUCACUACAGGUAAAAGCUUUAUUCCAGGUGAUCCGAUAAAAGUAUUUUCAAGAAAUUCACGAAAGAAGCAUAAAGCUUAGCAAAUGAAUUGACGUGCAAACAUUUCUUAUUUUUUCACCAUUCUUCUUUGAUUCGUCCUAUGGCCAAUAAAAUUUUCUUUUUUUAUUUACCUUUCUUUGUACUCAUGAACUACGUUUGACCUGACUUCCAUUUGGAUACGUAGGCUGCCCACUCUGGGUCCUGUCUUAAUCUAAUAAAACUUUUUCUUUCCCCUUUAUUUCCAAUUCUUACACAUCCAAAGUUUCAAGCUAAUAGGCAAAACCUCAAAAAUUUCACAAGUAAGCAAUAUAUCAAUGAUGUGCAAAAAGGCCUUUUCUUUUAAACUGGGGCAGAAAUAUUUUGAAAAUUUCUCAAAAAUUUCACCAUGAAGAAGUACAAUUCCCAACAGCUGAAGAAGCAGAAAUCGAUCAAGGAGUCAAAUCGAGCAAGAUACGAAUCAAUAUUUCUUUUCGACUGACGAUUUUUCUUUGAGUGCAGACAAUAGGUACUAAAUGUAGCAACGAUGCUAUGAUAAUCAAAGAAGCCAGGAUUAUAUCCCAAAUAAGGGGAAAAAGCUAAGUUGUUCUAUCUUUUGACUUUGACGACAUUGAAAUUGAUAUUAUAUUAUUAAAUAAUAUUGAGUUCCUGUAGAACCUUAAGUGAAUAAUAUUGACAACAUGGGUUUCUGUAGGACCUUAUUUGAAUAAUAUUGGGUUCUUGUAGAACUUUAACUUACAAUAUUGGAUUUCUGUAGAACUUUAAUCAAUAAUAUUGGGUUCCUAUAGAACCUUAAUCAACAAUAUCGGGUUCUUGUAGAACCUUAAUCAACAAUAUUGGGUUCCUGUAAAACCUUAAUUAACAAAUUUGGGUUCCUGUAGAACCUUAAUCAACAAUAUCGGGUUCCUGUAGAACCUUAAUCAACAAUAUUGGGUUCCUGUAGAAACUUAAUCAACAAAUUUGAGUUCCUAUAGAACCUUAAUAAAAAAUAUCGGGUUCCUUAAAACCUUAAUCAACAAUAUUGGAUUCUUGUAGAACCUUAAUCAACAAUAUCGUGUUCUUGUAGAACCUUAAUCAACAAUAUUGGGUUCCUGUAGAACCUUAAUCAACAAUAUUGGGUUCUUGUGGAACCUUAACAGACGAUAUUGGGUCCUCGUAAGAACCUUAAUUGAACAAUAUUGGGUUCUUGAAACCUUAUAUUUUUCAUGUCCUAAAUCGUAUUCACAUUCCAUAUUUCAAAACCACUCUAAUCUUGUUUAUUCGAGCUAUCAUUAUUCAAAUUCUCUUCACUUCAAUCACACCAACCCAUGAUAUCAUUGUUGACGCCCCUAUUCUCUAUCAUUAACAUUCUUUAGAAAUAUUGUUCAUUCCUAAAUCUAGAACUACAUACGACUUGAUUCUUAUAAAACCAAAGAUAUGUAGGCGACUUAAAACAAAAGUCCCAGUCACACUAUUUUUAAAACUAUCCGCCUGUAUUUUCAUUCCAACAAAUCCUCUUUUUGGUCGGACAAAAUUGACUACUACGUCAACUUUUGUUGCUCGACAAUUCUUUCAUCAUUCUCAAGAAACGAAGGAGCAGUUGUUGACAUCCAAUUUUGACCUCCCAAUGCUCUCUUAAGCUGUUAUUUUGUCAAUAUUAGCUAACUUUUUUUACACAUUAUUUUGGUAUCAAAUAAUUUUCGACAAGUCAUAUUCAUGAUUUAAACAUAUACAAAUUAUUUUAUUACUUUUUAUUUAUAAUAUUCUACAUUAUUUUAUUAAAAUUUAUUAAAUUUUUUCGUAAAUAUAAACUCACAUUUUUUACAAAUAUAUUAUCUAUUAUUAUUAUUGACAAUUUUAUAUAAUAAUUUUACGUAAAAUUAAUUUUUAAUGUAUUUUUUAAAAUAUCGGCGUCUUAUUAUUUUUCUCACAGUCAAUUUCAAUUUAUUCUCCUAUGUAUUUUAAUUUCUAUCCAUUGUUGUACUCAAUUUGCAUCAAUUGUAGUACAAAUUAACAUCAAUUUGGCUAUAAAAUCUAAUUCCAACUUUUGACCUAUUUUUAAAAUUAUUUUAAUCUCAACCGUUGAUCGAAGUUAAUCCAACGGUUGAGAUCAGAUAAACUUUCCUCUCCUUUUAAACAACAAUUACCCAAACCCUAACGCCUGCCACCACCGGAGAGACCGACGACGCAACCCGGCCAUUCUCCGAGUGGCAUCACCGACUUCUGGACAGCAACAGCAGCAGCCGACCUCCCUUCUCUCCCCCUCUUUCUCUUUAAAACCACCAGGAGACCCCAUGCUCCGGCGAUCCGCAUCUGCUGAUGCCGACGCCUUUCACUAUCUCCUUUUUCAGCCGAUCCGCCAGCCAUCACUAGCCGAAAGUUCCACCAGUGUCGCCGCUGCCUCCCCACGUCACCAAAACAGUCCAUCUGACUCCAACCAGCAACGAUCCGCCUCGAGCCGCAACUCUUUACGCCCGCACUUUUCGUCACCUCCUCGUUGGAGUUGACAACCAACGAGGUCCACUACGUAUUUCGGGUUUGAUUCUUGUUACAGAUUAAUUUUUGUUGUCUGUGUUGCUUGAUGUCCUGGAUUGAAAUUUGUGAAAACGUGAUUGUGGUUUCGGCUUGUUUAUUAGUUCCUUUAGACUGCUGCAUGUGAAAAACAUUUUGGUGAACUUUAAUUUUGUGUUUGUGUUCCUUCAUUCGUUGAUUACCAGUUCCCGCUGAAUCAUUUGUACUGAUCUUGUUCAUCGAGAUUAUGAGACUUGAUCAGUAUAAGGUCUUAUCUGUUGUGAUGAAUUGUGAUAGUCUAAGUGACUUUUUCUGUUCUUGUUAAUGGCCUAACUAAUGACAACCUCUUUUGAACACUAAUUAUGGUGAUUUUAAAAUCCUUGACUUGUGCAAAUUAUCAGGUAAUGUGUGGCAGAUCGACAUAUUCUUUGGUAAAAUUGAUUUUUCUUGUCUUAUCAUUUGAAAAAUCUCUUGAUUGAUUGUCUUCUUUAUUUCAUUGCUUUUUAUAUAUAUUUUUUACUUGGUUAUUUAAUUCGAUCGUAAUCUGUUUAUUUGAUUUUUAUCUAAUUACGUUAAUUAAGGAAAGGAUUCUUCGUGAUUAAUUUUCAUGAAUGUCUCAUUUUCUUUUGAUUUAGUUAACUGAUUGAUGAAAAUAGUAUCACUUAUAGACAAAUUUUGUUUUGAAAAAAAAAAUCACACUUGAUUAUAAUUCCCCUCUCUUUUAAAGGAAAAUAUUUCACUGAUUGAUGGGAUUGGAUUAUUAUUUCCUUUUCUUUUUUCCUCUUGAUUGAUUCCCUGAAUAUUUCUUAAUCAUUUUCUUUGAGACAACCCUUCUCAUUCUUCGAGAAGACGGACAAUCUCUACACUCUCUCGUACAAAAGCUUUAAGCAAAAAAAAAGUUACUUGAUUUCUUUUUCUGAGUUGCAUUUUACCUUUGGAGCUUUGGUCUCAAUCUGUCCGUGGGAAUUCGUGUCUGACUUUUGAUAUUAUUUGAUUUUCUUAUUUUUACCCGUUAUCAUCAAUCGAUAAGUCCCUGUCGACUAAUUUCCUUUAUACCUUAUAUGAUGAUGCUAGUAAACAUGUUUAUAGGUAUUAUUCGGUGUUUGCUUGCUAUGUCUGUGUUAUAUUUUCGCUUGUACUGCUACUACAUAUUGUCUCCCAGAUGUAAAUAGACAGUUUCGGGGAUUUGAAGUGUCGUUGGGUAUUGGGGAGGGGGUUGCCCAUUCCUUUUCCUUUAUUUUGUUAUUUACCUUAAUUCAUUGUGUUGUAAUAACUUUUGUAAAUCUCGGUGUAAUAAUAAAUUUAUGGGGACUGCUUGGGGCGGGGUGUAUGUGCUUUACAUGCACGUAGGCAAACACAACUUAGGUUUAUGGUUAUUAUCUACUAUAUGAAUCACUUGGGCAAGCAACCUAGGAUUUAUUAAUACGUGAAUCGCUUAGGUAAACUUAAUUUAUGGUUUAUCAAUUGAUUCUCUUAGAAAUCUUGCUUUUUAGGAUUUUAACUUAUAUUCGACAUCUUAAAUUAAAGUCAAGCUUGUUAAUUUAACCCACGAUGUAUAAAAUUAGUGAUCAACUUUAGUGUUUCAUUUUACCGCAUUUUUAAAGUCAUUUUCAGCAUAUCUGUUUUUCUGUUUAUAUAAUGUUCAACAUGUUUAGAAAUUUUUCUGUUUAUAAUGUUCAACAUGUUUAGCUAAAAGUCAGUUUUGACAUUUUGUUUUUCAGCCUAUUUUAUUAAUUUGUAGCUUGUUAAAUAAGGUCUUCAAUACUUUUUGGCCUUUAAAUAGCAUUUUGAGAAGCUAAAACUCUAUUUCCCACGUAUUAAUUCAUUUUUCAGCAUUCAAAGUAAUUCCAGCAUAUUAAAUCAAUUUUUUUUUUUUUAGUAUUUUUCGACAUUAAUUUUAACUGAAAUGCUUUUGCAAUAACUAUGAAAUUCGGUUCCGUCUCAAACAAUGAUUUUCUGUAACUCAAAUUUUGCAACAUUCAAAGACAGUUUCAAUUUUUGAGAAAUAAUCUUCAACAAUAUAAGGUGGACUUUGACAUUUAAUCCUCAACACUUAUUAUAGCGAAUUUUGACAUGGCGAUUCACGUUUCGUCAUUUUCAUUCCAUCAUAUUAAUUGGCACUUCGAUAUCAUGCCUACAGGUUAAUUAUCUCAAAAUAAAUUAUUAUUUGCCUUUGCCAUGUUAAUCACCUUAAUCACUUCUUGAUUAACCAAGAAGUUUCUUUAACCAAGAAGUUUCUUGAGACUAUUAUGUGCUACUUGAUGUCCUAUUUGUUUUACACGCUUUGAGUACAACUAGGAAACCUAGCUUUAUUUGUCUAGCUCACAAAUUCAAAAUAGUAAAGUCCAAUGCCUCUUGGACGAUAGGUUGGAACGAUAGGCAUUCUAGAGGCGUUAGUUUUAUCCUUUCUUUUUAGAACGUUUUUAGAUUUGACAACCAGCCUAGGUGGGGGAAGAGUCGUCAUUCGGAAGUGAUGAUAUCCAACAUAUAUUACAUGACGUAUGACAUUGUGACUUGUCUAAGAAUUCGGCUGCCGGCUAGUGGAUCGGAUAAUGAUUAACAAGUUGGGGUUUUGAUCCGAAUGAAAUCAAAAACAUUUUCUUGGUUCGACUUUUUGAUUUUAUUCUUUUAUUUUAUUUGCUUAUCUAUUCGGGGUAGUUAGUUUAUUUAAGAAGUUCCCUUUGCUAUAAUUUGUGUCAUUCUUAUUUUCUCGUUUUUAUUGUUCUUUUAUUAAUUCUUGUGUUGUUUAUCAUUUAGGUAAUUAUCAAAUAGGAAUAACCAAAUAACAUGUUUGUUUAUUAAUUACUUAUCACUUAGUUAACAUUAAGUUAAUAAUAAAGUAGUGACCUUUGUUUUAUCUCAUAGAAUUCCCACGUAAAAUAUGAAUUCGACUGGGAACCACAUUUGUGGACCUCGAAAGGUGUCUUAACACCUUCCUUUCGAGAUAAUUUGAAUUCUUAUCCGAAUUUUUGGUGAACUAACACUAAAUAACAAAAUAAACUCGUAGUUAGCCUAGAAUGAUUUCCUAAUGCACCUUAAUACGUUAGGUGGCGACUUUUCACUCUCCUUAAACAAUCUCAAGAAAGAGUUGGUACGUCGAAUCUUGCUUUUCGUGAGAAAAAUGGGGCACGACAAUGGCCCUUGAUGCUAUCAAGAGAAUCCACUAUAACUAUACUAUCCUUUGACAAAUUCUUUUCCUCGGUCAUGUUCAUGUAACUUUGGUUGCAAAUAAGAUGAAAUGAAGUUUCAAUAAUAGUUCUAACUGAUGGUUCUGGAUCCGUUCGUCCAAGUGCUUCAACUAAACAAGUUGUAGUUGUUGAUUUCCCGCUACAUGAUUGACCGCAGAACAAUCAAUGCCAUCUACAACCAACAAAAAGGAACAAAAGUAAACAUAAUGACGAACUAAUAAUGACUAUACCAAAAUAAGGUUAAUAGUAUAUUCAAAACUAAGUCAUGAUUAAAUAAAUAAAGGAAAAAAAAAAGAUAGACCUUUGAUUUUUUGAAACUUUCAAAAGUUCAUAUGCACUUCAACCUCAAAGACUGCUCCAAUUAGUUUUGCCUUAGAAGCAAUUGCUCCCAUAUUAGCAGAAAUAUUUGUUGUCAUAAUAUUCUAAGUACAAAACACCAAAGUAAAUACAAGUCAGGUGGAGCAAUGUAACUAUUGACACUUGAACAACAACUGCGGUACCAAAGUCUCUUAGGCGGCUAUUGCAAAUAUUUAUGGAACAAAAUACAUUGAGGGAGGGUUUUUUACUCUCCAUAUAUCACUUUAUUGAGUUCAAAUGUUAUAUUAAAUAGGAUAUUUGUCUAAAUAAUAAAAAUAUAUACAAUAAUUAAAUUCAACAUCUUUUGGAGAAUUUAUUUAAUUAAACCUAAUCUUUAAAAUAAAAUUGUUCAAGCCGAUCGACAUUCAUCUACCAUUUGUAAACUGCAACAAAACAAUACGAUGAUAGAGAUAUCAAAACAAUAUAAUUACACAAAUUUUUUCAAAGCCGUCUGAUA
rnacentral:lncRNA from 1 species